rnacentral:snoRNA from 1 species
AUUUAAUGAUGAUCACACCUAUUAAGUAUGUUUUUUCUGGCAUCUCUAAUGUUAGACUUGUUUAAGUACCGGUCAAUGAAUACAACCCUUGACAAAUAUCUGAUA